rnacentral:lncRNA from 1 species
UCACGGGUGUCAUUCGGUUUAUCGAGAGAAAUGAUCGUGAAAGAAUAUCUAACGGCGGUCAAGUAUUGAGAGACGAUCGUGAAAGUUCUGGUAACGGAUCGUGAAAGACAUUUAAUCGAGAAGACAUAUGAAAGGUCAGUAAAUAUUCUAAUUUAAUUAAUUACACAGACGCAUUUACGACAAAAUAUAACUGUCUGUCAAAAUGGUUCAAUAUUAUGAUCAGUAUGUCAGAAUAUCCAGUUUCAAAAGUACAUAGUUAUUACAAAACCAUAAAAGGCCGAUUGCUUCUCGACAUUUCAAUGACAUAAAAAAUGUAAACAAACACGAUUUUUUCCCAAAUUCGACUAGAUAAACUACUUUUAUCAGAAUAAGGGCAUUGUAUUGAAUUUAAUUAAACUUCUCAUAGUUAUUUUGUAUAAAUAUAAUUGAAACUUGGUAAAUAAAGAACUAUUUAUACAAACUUGAUUUUUUGGAUCGUGAAAGAUCACGUACCGCAUUUUUGAAGAUCGUGAAAAGGAUCGUGAAAGAUCUGAUGCUACGAAGACGUUCACAUUAUUCUUCAAUUAUAUGACCAUUGAUAUUUGAUAUUGGUAUUGUGAAAGGCUAGAUAGGUCAACAUCCUCAAUAGGUUUAAGCAUUUCAAAGUAAUAAUAUUUUCAGAAAAUGAAAAGAAAAAGAAAUAACAACUACGGCAAUAAGAAAAGACAAUGGGUGACAAAAAGCCGAAAAAAAAAACAAUCCAGUGAAGUUGAGCCAAUGGAAGAGGUUGAAGAUGCAGAUAAUGUUACAGAAGCA